AACGAACGCUGGCGGCAGGCCUAACACAUGCAAGUCGAGCGAAGCCUUCGGGCUUAGCGGCGGACGGGUGAGUGACGCGUGGGAACGUGCCCUUUGGUACGGAAUAGCCCCGGGAAACUGGGAGUAAUACCGUAUGUGGUCGAGAGACGAAAGAUUUAUCGCCAAAGGAUCGGCCCGCGUUGGAUUAGGUAGUUGGUGGGGUAAUGGCCUACCAAGCCGACGAUCCAUAGCUGGUUUGAGAGGAUGAUCAGCCACACUGGGACUGAGACACGGCCCAGACUCCUACGGGAGGCAGCAGUGGGGAAUCUUAGACAAUGGGGGAAACCUUGAUCUAGCCAUGCCGCGUGAUCGAUGAAGGCCUUAGGGUUGUAAAGAUCUUUCAGUGGGGAAGAUAAUGACUGUACCCACAGAAGAAGCCCCGGCUAACUCCGUGCCAGCCGCCGCCGUAACAC
rnacentral:rRNA from 1 species